rnacentral:piRNA from 1 species
UAGCAUUACCAGGAGCUGCCAGAG